rnacentral:rRNA from 1 species
UGACCUAUCCAUGUCCAGGUUGAAGGAGCCGUAAAAGGCUUUGGAGGACCGAACACACAUCUGUUGAAAAAGGUGGUGAUGAGGUGUGGAUAGCGGAGAAAUUCCAAUCGAACUCGGAGAUAGCUGGUUCUCCUCGAAAUAGCUUUAGGGCUAGCCUCGAGAUGGAGUCUAACGGAGGUAAAGCACUGAACUGACGCGGGGCCCAAAAAGGUUACCAACUCAUAUCAAACUAAGAAUGCCGUCAAGAUACCCUCGGGAGUCAGUCUGCGUGAGAUAAGUCGCGUGGACAAAAGGGAAAGAGCCCAGACCGACAGCUAAGGUCCCAAAGUACGUGUUAAGUGGAAAAGGAUGUGGGAUUUCAUAGACAACUAGGAUGUUGGCUUAGAAGCAGCCAUACAUUUAAAGAGUGCGUAACAGCUCACUAGUCGAGAAAACCUGCGCCGAAAAUUUAACGGGGCUAAAACACGACACCGAAGCUACGGCUUGACAGCUAACGCUGUUAGGGGUAGAGGAGCAUCCUGCAAGGACGAAGCCAAAGUGAGAACGAUGGUGGACGAAACAGGAGAGAGAAUGCCGGAAUGAGUAGCGAGAUAGAAGUAAGAAACUUCUAGGCCGAAUAUCUAAGGUUUCCUGGGUAAAGCUAAUCUUCCCAGGGUUAGUCGGGGCCUAAGGCGAGGACGAAAGUCGUAGUCGAUGGAUAACAGGUUGAUAUUCCUGUACUACGUAUUAUCAGAACUGUGGGGACGCAGGAGGAUAGGAAAACCGGGGAAUGGAAAGACCCGGCCAAGUACAAAGUCAAGGAAGAUAGGCAAAUCCGUCUUUUGAUGAUGAAGUGCGAUGGGGACUGAAUAAAAGUAGGGAAGUUUCCGAAUCCACACUGUCGAGAAAAGCCGCUAUUGUAUAAUACGUACCCGUACCGUAAACCGACACAGGUAGAUGAGGAGAAAAUCCACAGGCCGACGGGAGAAGUGUUGUUAAGGAACUCGGCAAAAUGACCCCGUAACUUAGGGAGAAGGGGAGCCACGCAAGUGGCCGCAGAAAAGAGGCUCAAGCGACUGUUUAGCAAAAACACAGGUCUCUGCGAAACCGAAAGGUGAAGUAUAGGGGCUGACACCUGCCCGGUGCUGGAAGGUUAAAAGGAGAGGUUCGGCGCAAGCCAAAGCUUUGAAUUCAAGCCCCAGUAAACGGCGGCCGUAACUAUAACGGUCCUAAGGUAGCGAAAUUCCUUGUCAGGUAAGUUCUGACCCGCACGAAAGGUGUAACGAUUUGAGCACUGUCUCGACAACACGCCCGGUGAAAUUGAAGAACCAGUGAAGAUACUGGUUACCCGCAACAGGACGGAAAGACCCCAUGGAGCUUUACUGCAGCCUGAUACUGGGAUUCGAUGAUAUAUGUACAGGAUAGGAGGGAGACUAGGAAUCCGGGACGCCAGUUUCGGAGGAGUCGACGGUGGGAUACCUCUCUUAUAUCAUUGGAUUUCUAACCUGCGUCCGUGAUCCGGAUGAGGGACAAUGUCAGGCGGGCAGUUUGACUGGGGCGGUCGCCUCCUAAAAGGUAACGGAGGCGCUCGAAGGUCACCUCAGAAUGAUUGGAAACCAUUCAAAGAGUGUAAAGGCAAAAGGUGGCUUGACUGCGACACCGACGGGUGGAGCAGGUACGAAAGUAGGACUUAGUGAUCCGGUGGUAAUAAGUGGGAAUGCCAUCGCUCAACGGAUAAAAGCUACCCUGGGGAUAACAGGCUUAUCUCCCCCAAGAGUUCACAUCGACGGGGAGGUUUGGCACCUCGAUGUCGGCUCAUCGCAUCCUGGGGCUGAAGUAGGUCCCAAGGGUUGGGCUGUUCGCCCAUUAAAGCGGUACGCGAGCUGGGUUCAGAACGUCGUGAGACAGUUCGGUCCCUAUCCGUUGUGGGCGGAGGAAAUUUGAGAGGAGCUGUCCUUAGUACGAGAGGACCGGGAUGGACGUACCUCUGGUGUACCGGUUGCAGACCAACUGCACAGCCGGGUAGCUAUGUAUGGAACGGAUAAACGCUGAAGGCAUCUAAGCGUGAAGCCGCCCUCAAGAUGAGAUUUCCCAUUCUUCGGAAGUAAGGUCCCUUAAAGAUAAUGAGGUAGAUAGGUUGGAGGUGUAAGCAC